rnacentral:rRNA from 1 species
UGAGACUGCGGAUGGCUCAUAAAACAGUCAUAAUUUAUUUGAUAAUAACUUACUACUUGGAUAACCGUAGUAAUUCUAGGGCUAAUACAUGCGCAAGACCCGACUUGCACGUGCGUCGGUUCGCGCCGAUGUGCGUGCACGCGGCGGCGGCGUUGCGUGCGGGAAAGCGUGCGUGGCGUGCCGUCGAUGAACCACGGAAGGGUUGUAUUUAUUAGAUUCAAAACCAGAACGGCGCGGCGGAGCCGGUGCGCGCCCUUGCGGUGCGUGCCGGUGCGGCGUCGGUCAAACACACUUUAGCAAAGGUGAACCAUAGUAACUGCAUAAACGGAUCGCAUGGCCAUUGCGCCGGCGACGAAUCAUUCAAGUUUCUGCCCUAUCAACUUUCGAUGGUAGUGUAUUGGACUACCAUGGUCGUAACGGGUAACGGAGAAUUAGGGUUCGAUUCCGGAGAGGGAGCCUGAGAAACGGCUACCACUUCCAAGGAAGGCAGCAGGCGCGCAAAUUACCCAAUCCCGAUACGGGGAGGUGGUGACAAUAAAUAACAAUACAGGUCAAUUUAUUUGUCUUGUAAUUGGAAUGAGUACAAUCCAAACACCUUAACGAGGAACAAUU